GGGGGCGAUUUGGGUUCGACGGGGGUAAGGAAGGUUGCAGGUGCAUGCCCGGGAUCCUGGGUACCGGUCAACAACCCCAGGGCUGCUUAAACGCAGACGAACCACUUGCUUUGGCUGCCUAAGCGCAGUCACGUCUCACCAAGCCUGCGCCCGUAGGGCUGGCUGAGGCGACGAACUUCGGGCUAAGCGCUAGCGGUAGCUCGGCCGUUAGCGACGAAAACCCACGAGCUGGCUACCAGGGAUCCUGCCCGUGGGAGACCUGGCAGCGAGAGCAAAACACGAGGCUACGCAUGUAGACCCUGCCGCCGACCGCCUCCGGACGGGGGUUCGAUUCCCCCCGCCUCCACCA
rnacentral:tmRNA from 1 species